UACGAAGGGGGCUAGCGUUGUUCGGAAUCACUGGGCGUAAAGGGCGCGUAGGCGGCCAUAUAAGUCGGGGGUGAAAGCCUGUGGCUCAACCACAGAAUUGCCUUCGAUACUGUAUGGCUCGAGACCGGAAGAGGUAAGUGGAACUGCGAGUGUAGAGGUGAAAUUCGUAGAUAUUCGCAAGAACACCAGUGGCGAAGGCGGCUUACUGGUCCGGUUCUGACGCUGAGGCGCGAAAGCGUGGGGGAGC
rnacentral:rRNA from 1 species